CAACCUCAACUCAUAUGGGACUACCCCCUGAAUUUAAGCAUAUUAAUUAGGGGAGGAAAAGAAACUAACAAGGAUUUUCUUAGUAGCGGCGAGCGAAAAGAAAUCAGUUCAGCACUAAGUCACUUUGUCUAUAUGGCAAAUGUGAGAUGCAGUGUAUGGAGCGUCAAUAUUCUAGUAUGAGAAAUUAACGAUUUAAGUCCUUCUUAAAUGAGGCCAUUUACCCAUAGAGGGUGCCAGGCCCGUAUAACGUUAAUGAUUACUAGAUGAUGUUUCCAAAGAGUCGUGUUGCUUGAUAGUGCAGCACUAAGUGGGUGGUAAACUCCAUCUAAAACUAAAUAUAACCAUGAGACCGAUAGUAAACAAGUACCGUGAGGGAAAGUUGAAAAGAACUCUGAAUAGAGAGUUAAACAGUACGUGAAACUGCUUAGAGGUUAAGCCCGAUGAACCUGAAUAUCCGUUAUGGAAAAUUCAUCAUUAAAGUUGUAAUAUUUUAACAAUAUUAUAAUAAUAGUGUGCAUUUUUUCCAUAUAAGGACAUUGUAAUCUAUUAGCAUAUACCAAAUUUAUCAUAAAAUAUGGCUUAUAGUUUAUUCAAAUUAUUAUGCUUGCAUUUUAACAUAGAAUAAAUGUCAUUAAUUUGAUAAAGUGUUGAUAAAUUAAAAUUAAUACAGUGCGUUAAUUUUUCGAAAUUAUAUAAUGGCAUAAUUAUCAUCGAUUUUUGUGUUUAUUAUAUGCAUUUGUAUGAUUAACAAUGCGAAAGAUUCAGGAUACCUUCGGGACCCGUCUUGAAACACGGACCAAGGAGUCUAACAUAUGUGCAAGUUAUUGGGAGAUAAACCUAAUAGCGUAAUUAACUUGACUAAUAAUGGGAUUAGUUUUUUAACUAUUUAUAGAUAAUUAACACAAUCCCGGGGCGUUCUAUAUAGUUAUGUAUAAUAAUAUUUAUAUUAUUUAUGCCUCUAACUGGAACGUACCUUGAGCAUAUAUGCUGUGACCCGAAAGAUGGUGAACUAUACUUGAUCAGGUUGAAGUCAGGGGAAACCCUGAUGGAAGACCGAAACAGUUCUGACGUGCAAAUCGAUUGUCAGAAUUGAGUAUAGGGGCGAAAGACCAAUCGAACCAUCUAGUAGCUGGUUCCUUCCGAAGUUUCCCUCAGGAUAGCUGGUGCAUUUUAAUGUUAUAUAAAAUAAUCUUAUCUGGUAAAGCGAAUGAUUAGAGGCCUUAGGGUCGAAACGAUCUUAACCUAUUCUCAAACUUUAAAUGGGUAAGAACCUUAACUUUCUUGAUAUGAAGUUUAAGGUUAUGAUAUAAUGUGCCCAGUGGGCCACUUUUGGUAAGCAGAACUGGCGCUGUGGGAUGAACCAAACGUAAUGUUACGGUGCCCAAAUUAACAACUCAUGCAGAAACCAUGAAAGGCGUUGGUUGCUUAAAACAGCAGGACGGUGAUCAUGGAAGUCGAAAUCCGCUAAGGAGUGUGUAACAACUCACCUGCCGAAGCAACUAGCCCUUAAAAUGGAUGGCGCUUAAGUUGUAUACCUAUACAUUACCGCUAAAGUAGAUGAUUUAUAUUACUUGUGAUAUAAAUUUUGAAACUUUAGUGAGUAGGAAGGUACAAUGGUAUGCGUAGAAGUGUUUGGCGUGAGCCUGCAUGGAGCUGCCAUUGGCACAGAUCUUGGUGGUAGUAGCAAAUAAUCGAAUGAGACCUUGGAGGACUGAAGUGGAGAAGGGUUUCGUGUGAACAGUGGUUGAUCACGAGUUAGUCGGUCCUAAGUUCAAGGCGAAAGCCGAAAAUUUUCAAGUAAAAAAUCAGUAAGCAUAUAUUGUCAAAUCUUUAAUGAUUUUUUUGAAAUACUUGAAUAAUUUUGAACGAAAGGGAAUACGGUUCCAAUUCCGUAACCUGUUGAGUAUCCGUUUGUUAUUAAAUAUGGGCCUCGUGCUCAUCCUGGCAACAGGAACGACCAUAAAGAAGCCGUCGAGAGAUAUCGGAAGAGUUUUCUUUUCUGUUUUAUAGCCGUACUACCAUGGAAGUCUUUCGCAGAGAGAUAUGGUAGAUGGGCUAGAAGAGCAUGACAUAUACUGUUGUGUCGAUAUUUUCUCCUCGGACCUUGAAAAUUUAUGGUGGGGACACGCAAACUUCUCAACAGGCCGUACCAAUAUCCGCAGCUGGUCUCCAAGGUGAAGAGUCUCUAGUCGAUAGAAUAAUGUAGGUAAGGGAAGUCGGCAAAUUAGAUCCGUAACUUCGGGAUAAGGAUUGGCUCUGAAGAUUGAGAUAGUCGGGCUUGAUUGGGAAACAAUAACAUGGUUUAUGUGCUCGUUCUGGGUAAAUAGAGUUUCUAUCAUUUAUGGUAGUUACUUGUUCCCCGGAUAGUUUAGUUACGUAGCCAAUUGUGGAACUUUCUUGCUAAAAUUUUUAAGAAUACUAGUUGGGUUAAACCAAUUAGUUCUUAUUAAUUAUAACGAUUAUCAAUUAACAAUCAAUUCAGAACUGGCACGGACUUGGGGAAUCCGACUGUCUAAUUAAAACAAAGCAUUGUGAUGGCCCUAGCGGGUGUUGACACAAUGUGAUUUCUGCCCAGUGCUCUGAAUGUCAAAGUGAAGAAAUUCAAGUAAGCGCGGGUCAACGGCGGGAGUAACUAUGACUCUCUUAAGGUAGCCAAAUGCCUCGUCAUCUAAUUAGUGACGCGCAUGAAUGGAUUAACGAGAUUCCUACUGUCCCUAUCUACUCAGUUGCUCUCUGACUGCUACUGGAAGCAGACGUGUUUUUUAAGCGCCCCGCUUUACCGUCGGUUUUCAAUCGUUAAAGAGUGAUUUUUUCCCGUGUGGAAAUUGUUUACAUUUGUCGCGAGUGUUCAGCGCUUUUGUGUAUUAAAUUACGCGUUAAUUUGGUGCCCAAUUAGUGUUGGAAUUGGCAAAUUAAAAAUUUGUUGAUUCGGCUCUGCAAAAGCCACGUGCGGCUUUAGCUCGACAACAAGUGCGUAUAGCUCGUAAACAGGUUCGAGUUCGAAGCUUCCGUUCGAAGCUUUCGUUCGAAGCUUUGGCUCGAAGCCAAGUCGAGCUACUAUCGAAGCUUGGUUGAAAACUUGGAUAGUUGCAUUUUGGUUCGUGUCUCCGCUAAGCUUUAGUGUCAGAGAGAACCGGUAGAGGGAGCCAGAGCAUGGAGGUGGACACGGAGGCCGACGCCAGCGACGCUAGCCUGGCUAGUGUUGGAGCGAGCUCGUCGUCGAGUGUCCCCGCCCGUAGGCGGCGUCGGCCGAAGAAUACUGCGGCAAAAAAGGGAGCGAAGAAGAUCGGGCUGGGGAUUGGGGUGACGGGAGAGUUGCCGAUCCCAGCCGUCAGGUCGCCGCCACCGUCGCUCCCCUUUGUGGAAGUGGUAGCCACUGCAGAACCCUCUGCCGCUGCCACUGACACCGCUGCUGCCACCGCCAACAGCGCCGCCGCCACCAACGCCGCCGCCACCACUGCUGCCACUACCACUGUCGCCGCCACCACCGCUGCCAAUACCACUGCUGCCACCGCCGCUACCGUCACCGCUGCCACAUGCCAGGCAACUGGCAUUGUUGCGGCUGGAUUUUCGGCUGUUGCUGCGGAGUUAUCGUCCAUUAGGAUGAGCGUUAGCGAGGCAGUCCUCAAUGGAGGCAUGACCCCGGAGGCCGCCAUGGCAGUCUUCGUCGCUACCAAUAGGUACGACGAGCUGGUUAUGGCUCUGGCUGGGGACAAGGUGCGCCUGGAGGAGAGGGCACGUAUGCCGCCUCCACAGAGGCCCGCUGCCGCUGCCCACGCUGCCACCACCACCGCUGUUCCCACCGCUGCGUAUGCGGCAGCCUUCCCAGGCUUGCCGGCACCGAGCGCUGUCGCCCCACCGAUCGCGAGGCCGCGCGAAACCUGGUCGGCUCUUAUUAAGAGCACGAACCCGGAGGAGACUGGGAAGCAACUAGUGGAGCGAGUGAGAAAGGACGUUGUGCCCAAACUCGGAGUCCGAGUGCACGAGGUUCGUGAGCUGAAGAGCGGAGGAGCGAUCAUUCGCACGCCUUCGGUCAGCGAGCUCAGGAAGGUAGUGGACAGCGCGAAGUUCCAGGAAGCAGGACUGGAAGUGAGGAAGAGCCCGGAGACCAGACCUCAGGUCGUGGUGUAUGACGUCGACACGUCCAUCACGCCUGAAGAGUUCAUGGAGGAGCUCUUCACUAAGAACCUGGAGGAUUCCAUGUCCGCUACGGAAUUCAAAAAGACGGUUCACCUGGGCAGCAAACCCUGGUCGGUCACCGACGGCGCCACGAUCAACGUGACGCUGGAGGUCGAUGCGAAGGCACAGGAGGUGUUACGCGACUGCGUAUACAUCAAGUGGUUCCGAUGCCGCUGUCGUUCCCUGGUCAGGACCUACGCCUGCCACAGGUGUGUGGGUUUCGACCACAAGGUGUCCCAGUGCCGCCUAAAGGAGAACGUGUGCCACCGGUGCGGACAGGGCGGCCACAACGUUUCGAGGUGCCCCAACCCGGUGGACUGCCGAAACUGCCGCUUCAAGGGCUACCCGGCAGCACAUUCCAUGUUGUCAGCGGCAUGCCCGAUUUACGCAGCGGUAUUGGCGAGGGUGCAAGCUAGACAUUAAAUGUUUAGCUUCAUCCAAGCUAAUUGUGGCCGUGGCCGAGCGGCUGUGGUGGAUCUCGGAUCCAUCAUGCGCAACUCUGGCCAUCUGUUCGCACUGGUCCAGGAGCCGUACGUCGAUAGAGCAGGGCGGAUUACUGGCCUUCCUUCGGGAAUGCGAGUAUUCCAGGACCGCCCCUUUCGUGACGGAAACCCGAAAGCUGCCAUCAUCGUCGAUGAACCGGAAGCCAUCUGCACGCCAAUAGACCCCCUUACCACCGAACAUGGAGUAUGCGUCAGAGUGCAAGGAAGAUUUGGCUCAAUCAUCCUAUGCUCCGUAUACUGCCAAUUCAACACCGACUUGGAGCCGUACCUCAGGUACCUCAAUGCGGUGCUGCUGCUGGCCAGCCGCACUCCCGUCAUCUUUGGGCUCGACGCGAACGCAGUAUCCCCAGCGUGGUUUAGCAAACUCUCCGAGCAUGCUCGGGGGCAAGCUAACUAUGCACGGGGUGAGCUGCUGUCUGAGUGGAUUACCGAGAACCGAGCCGGCGUGCUCAACGAGGCCAGUCGGGUGUUUACAUUCGAUAACCGCAGAGCCCACAGCGACAUCGAUGUAACAAUCGCCAAUCAAGCUGCGACUAUGUGGGCCACAUACGUUUGGGAAGUGAGGGAAUGGGAUACGAGCGACCACAACAUGAUCCAUGUUGAGGUGACGCGUGAUCCGACCGACACAGUUGAGAGCAUUGCUCCUGUGCCGUCCUGGAAGCUUUCCAAUGCGCGCUGGCGAUUGUUCGAGGAAGAGGUGGUAAGGGAGACAUCCGAAUUGCCGGAGGACAUCGCCGAAUCGCCGUUGGACAACCAAGUGGCUGCACUGCGCUCUGUAGUGCACAGUGUGUGCGACAGAGUGCUGGGACGCAGCACGCCCAGAGCCGCGAGGAAAGUAGUUUGGUGGACUGCCGAGCUACAUUCCAAACGCCGAGAGGUCAGGAGACUGAGGCGGCGGCUACAGGACGCUCGUCGGCACGAGUCCGACGCAGCAGAGCAACUUGUGGUUGCGUUGAGGAUCUCCUCGGCGCAAUACAAGAAGCUCAUCCUGAGGACGAAGGAGGACAACUGGCGACGCUUCGUGGGAGACAACAGAGAUGAUCCAUGGGGGCACGUCUACAAGAUUUGCCGAGGACGCAAAAAGUGCACGGAGAUUGGAUGCCUUCGGACGGAUGGUGGGCUGGUUGCAACAUGGCGCGACUGUGCGGGUGUGCUCCUCCGCAACUUUUUCCCUGUUGCGGAGUCGAAUGCGCACAUUGCCAUCACGUCCGAAGCUCCACCGGCCCUUGUGGUUUCCGAGGUUGAUGCUUGCGUCGCCAGGUUGAAGAGCAGACGCUCUCCCGGCAUGGACGGCAUCACAGGUGCCAUUUGCAAGGCAUUGUGGCGUGCCAUCCCUCAGCACAUGACAGCGUUGUAUUCCCGCUGCCUGGAGACCGGAUACUUCCCCAAGGAAUGGAAACACCCUAGGGUGGUUCCACUCUUGAAGGGACCCGAUAAGGACAGGACGGAUCCUGCUUCAUAUCGGGGUAUCUGUCUGUUGCCAGUGCUGGGCAAAGUGCUUGAGGGAAUCAUGGUGAAUCGUCUGAAGGACACCAUACCGGAUGGCUGCAGAUGGCAAUUUGGAUUUCGCCAAGGACGCUGUGUGGAGGAUGCUUGGAAGCACGUCGUGAGCACUGUUUCGGCCAGCCGGUCGAAAUAUGUGCUCGGAGUCUUCGUGGAUUUCAAGGGAGCCUUUGACAACGUCGAGUGGGAUGCUGCACUACGUCGUCUCCUCGAGCUGGGCUGCCGUGAAGCAGGCUUGUGGCGAAGCUUCUUCUCCGGCCGGAGUGCGAGCAUCGUCAGCAGGCAUGGAGUAGCCACUGUUCCGGUGACAAGAGGUUGCCCACAGGGGUCCAUAAGUGGUCCAUUCAUAUGGAACAUCUUGAUGGACGUGUUGCUCCAGCGCUUGGAGCCACUUGGAGCGCUCAGCGCGUAUGCCGACGACCUGCUCCUCCUCAUCGAGGGAAACGCCCGUUCAGAGCUCGAGCGAAAAGGAGAGGAACUAAUGUCCAUCGUAGGCGCUUGGGGAGUUGAAGUCGGCGUUGCCGUUUCAACUAGCAAGACGGCGAUCAUGCUGCUCAAGGGCAUACUUCGACGGCCGCCCUUGGUACGGUUUGCUGGAGCAAGCCUGCCAUAUAAGCGCGAAUAUCGGUACCUUGGCAUCACAGUCGGUGAGCGGUUGAGUUUUCUCCCGCACAUCACGGGCUUGCGUGAUAGGCUGACUGGAGUCGUAGGGGCAUUGUCUCGCGUACUGCGGGUCGACUGGGGUCUCAGUCCCCGCGCAAAGCGGACAAUAUAUGCCGGACUCAUGGUGCCCUGUGCACUAUUUGGUGCCUCGGUUUGGUCUGUCGUGACGACGACGCAAGUGGUUGCCAGGAGGCACCUGCUUGCGUGCCAAAGGGCUAUCCUGAUUGGAUGCCUACCGGUAUGCCGAACAGUGUCCACCGUGGCACUGCAAGUACUUGCUGGAGCCCCCCCGUUUGAUCUGGUCGCCAGACGCCUGGCAAUCAGAUUCAAACUCAAGCGUGACUACCCGCUGGAGGAGAGCGAUUGGCUAUACGGCGAAGAUUUGGCAAAUCUUAGCUGGAAGCAGAAGAUGGCGCGACUAGAGGAAUGCCUGCUGAGCGAGUGGCAACGCAGAUGGGAUGAUGGUGACUCCCCAGGUCGGGUGACGCACCGCUUCAUCCCGAACGCAGGCUUCGUCUACAGCGAGCCAAGGUUUGGCUUCACGCUGCGCGCUGGAUUCCUGCUGACUGGCCAUGGAUCGCUCAAUGCAUUUCUGCAUGAGAGAAGCCGAAGCGACACGCCUGCAUGUCUAUGCGGCGCAGAGCGCGAGGAUUGGCAACACGUUCUAUGUGUUUGUCCGCUCUAUGCAGAUUUGCGAGACCUUGAUGGACUAGGAGUGCAGCACACGGAUGGCGAAUGGAUCUUCUCGGAAGUGGUGGCUUCGCAGGAAAGAAUGCAGUUGCUGGACAGAUACGCUGGCGACGCGUUCUCCAGACGGCAACAACUGAUGGACCCAAUGGCGACAGACGGGCCGAGAGCCCCGGACUUGGAGAGUCCCCCUCAAGGGUACCCUAUCCGAGCCAGUCGGGGCUAAAAGGGGAGGGUCCACUGAGCCCUAAAGAUCGGUACCACGGGUUGUUCAGCGGUCCAAGGCUGUUCAUUGAGGUAGGCCCCCUAGUGGGAGCAUCGUGGUGGCUGUGGUAGGCUGAAUUUUACGCGGCAAGAGCCGCUAGGCUCCACGUGGAGUUGCGAUCUCAACCGGGUGCCGAGACCCAUAGAUCGGAAGAGGUGAUAGAUACACUUCGCUCCUCACCAAGGGGGAAAGUAUGCCCGACUAGUAUACUUUCGAAUUGGUACCAGGGUGGGUCGCUAUGUAUUUGCUAUAGCUUCUUAUCCUGGGGCGUAAAUUGGCGCAUGUACCAGAUUUACCGUGACAUGUGCAUUGCACUCAGCACAUUAAACACCGUGGUUGAAAUCCCUUCCUGUGGAACCGCCACGUUAAAUAAAGCUGAGAGAUCAGAUUUAUCUGUCCCUAUCUACUAUCUAGCGAAACCACAGCCAAGGGAACGGGCUUGGAAUAAUUAGCGGGGAAAGAAGACCCUUUUGAGCUUGACUCUAAUCUGGCAGUGUAAGGAGACAUAAGAGGUGUAGAAUAAGUGGGAGAUAUUAGAUUUCGGUUUGAUAUCGACAAUGAAAUACCACUACUCUUAUUGUUUCCUUACUUACUUGAUUAAAUGGAACGUGUAUCAUUUCCUAGCCAUUAUACGGAUAUAUUUAUUAUAUCUUAUGGUAUUGGGUUUUGAUGCAAGCUUCUUGAUCAAAGUAUCACGAGUUUGUUAUAUAAUCGCAAACAAAUUCUUUAAUGAGAAGAUGCAUUUAUGUGUUUUCAAUUUGAAAAUUUGGUAUAACUCCAAUUACUCAGGUAUGAUCCAAUUCAAGGACAUUGCCAGGUAGGGAGUUUGACUGGGGCGGUACAUCUCUCAAAUAAUAACGGAGGUGUCCCAAGGCCAGCUCAGUGCGGACAGAAACCACACAUAGAGCAAAAGGGCAAAUGCUGACUUGAUCUCGGUGUUCAGUACACACAGGGACAGCAAAAGCUCGGCCUAUCGAUCCUUUUGGUUUAAAGAGUUUUUAACAAGAGGUGUCAGAAAAGUUACCAUAGGGAUAACUGGCUUGUGGCGGCCAAGCGUUCAUAGCGACGUCGCUUUUUGAUCCUUCGAUGUCGGCUCUUCCUAUCAUUGUGAAGCAAAAUUCACCAAGCGUUGGAUUGUUCACCCAUGCAAGGGAACGUGAGCUGGGUUUAGACCGUCGUGAGACAGGUUAGUUUUACCCUACUAAUGACAAAACGUUGUUGCGACAGCAUUCCUGCGUAGUACGAGAGGAACCGCAGGUACGGACCAAUGGCACAAUACUUGUUCGAGCGAACAGUGGUAUGACGCUACGUCCGUUGGAUUAUGCCUGAACGCCUCUAAGGUCGUAUCCGUGCUGGACUGCAAUGAUAAAUAAGGGGCAAUUUGCAUUGUAUGGCUUCUAAACCAUUAAAAGUUUUUAAUUUACUUUAUAAACGACAAUGGAUGUGAUGCCAAUGUAAUUUGUAACAUAGUAAAUUGGGAGGAUCAUUGAUCACCUGGUGCCGCGCUAGUUACAUAUAAAAACAUUAUUUAAUACAAUGACAAAGCCUAGAAUCAAUUGUAAACGACUUUUGUAACAGGCAAGGUGUUGUAAGUGGUUGAGCAGCUGCCAUACUGCGAUCCACUGAAGCUUAUCCUUUGCUUGAUGAUUCGA